AGCGAUUCUCCCAUGUUGGCCUGCCAAAGCACUGGGAUUACAAGUGUGAGCCACAGGGUUUAUCUUUGACUCAUAUAUCCCAGACUUAGAGCUAAAGAAGCCAGCAACCCAGAAAUGCCGAUGGAAAUAUACAAAUGAGGCCCCCAUAAAAGUCUGUUCUCUUUAGCCAAAGGAGCAGGAAAAGGGCAACUUAACAAAACGUAAAACUUUUAGACAAUAACUGUUCUAACUAAAGCAAAUACCACAGAGAAAAACUGUAGCUCCACCUCCCCAACCAUGCCGGCAAAGGCUAAGGGAAGCCUAGAAUUCCACCCUCAUAAGGCUGUCAUGAGGAAUCCCAACACCACUGCCAGGGUGAUGUCACAGAAGGCCAAGUAGGAACUGGAACUUUCAUCCCAGCCAACCAGUAAUGAGCAUCCUCCUCCCACAAUGAUAUCAGUGGAGAUCACAUGGGAGUCAGAACCCUCUUUCCAGCAGUAACAGAUCAUAGGGAAAUACGUCUUCACAUAGCAGAUGGGAGCAAAAUAUGACUUGAAUAGUUCUAUUCUCAUCAAGACUGUUUGUAAGAAAUAGGCACUGGAGAUCCAGCUGAAGAAAAGAGAUUUACUUGAAACUCCAGGAUGGGGACAAUACUGAUGGCACCUUAUGGGAACUGGAGCUCCAUUACUUUCUAUAUUUCUUUGUUUCUGUUUCAUUACUAAGAAGAGCUUCCCUCUGUGCCAUUUAGUUGAAAUUCAAUAGAGAGGGUCUACGACUGGCCCAUUCGCCAAGCCACACCAUACAAGUCCAAGGCUGCUGAGGAGAUUGUGGAUUAGCUACUUAUAGAUCAGCUGUCCAGGCAUGGUCCAUUUAGCUAUGGGACAGAUAGGGCCCUGUCCUGUGAUACGGAAUAAGGGCCUUCAAGGCAUCCUUGAGAUGAAUAAGUCAAUGAAUGAAUAAAUAUCAAAGCAAUCUGGACAGGGCAGGCAAUAACAGGGAUCUCUAUCACAUCUGCUUUCUCUCCAUCAGCAAGCAGCAUUUUAUAAGAGCCUGUCUCCCCUGGAUCUCCCUUACACUCAACAUGUAAUCUGAAAAAUC
rnacentral:lncRNA from 1 species